rnacentral:rRNA from 1 species
AGAGUUUGAUCGUGGCUCAGGACGAACGCUGGCGGCGUGCCUAAUACAUGCAAGUCGAGCGGACAGAUGGGGGCUUGCUCCCUGAUGUUAGCGGCGGACGGGUGAGUAACACGUGGGUAACCUGCCUGUAAGACUGGGAUAACUCCGGGAAACCGGGGCUAAUACCGGAUGGUUGUCUGAACCGCAUGGUUCAGACAUAAAAGGUGGCUUCAGCUACCACUUACAGAUGGACCCGCGGCGCAUUAGCUAGUUGGUGAGGUAACGGCUCACCAAGGCGACGAUGCGUAGCCGACCUGAGAGGGUGAUCGGCCACACUGGGACUGAGACACGGCCCAGACUCCUACGGGAGGCAGCAGUAGGGAAUCUUCCGCAAUGGACGAAAGUCUGACGGAGCAACGCCGCGUGAGUGAAGAAGGUUUUCGGAUCGUAAAGCUCUGUUGUUAGGGAAGAACAAGUGCCGUUCAAAUAGGGCGGCACCUUGACGGUACCUAACCAGAAAGCCACGGCUAACUACGUGCCAGCAGCCGCGGUAAU